AACGAACGCUGGCGGCGCGUUUUAAGCAUGCAAGUCGAACGGUAGAGAGGUGCUUGCACCUCUUGAGAGUGGCGAACGGGUGAGUAACACGUAAGUAAUCUGCCUGGAAAUUGGGGAUAGCCUGUGGAAACACAGGGUAAUACCGAACACGCCCUAUAGUAGGGAUACUAUAGGGGAAAGGGGCUAAGGCCUCGUUUCCAGAUGAGCUUGCGGUUCAUUAGCUAGUUGGUAGGGUAAAGGCCUACCAAGGCGACGAUGAAUAGCCGGCCUGAGAGGGUGACCGGCCACACUGGGACUGAGAUACGGCCCAG
rnacentral:rRNA from 1 species